UACGGAAGGCAGCAGUGGGGAAUAUUGCACAAUGGGCGCAAGCCUGAUGCAGCCAUGCCGCGUGUAUGAAGAAGGCCUUCGGGUUGUAAAGUACUUUCAGUCGUGAGGAAGGUGUUAAGGUUAAUAACCUUAGCAAUUGACGUUAGCGACAGAAGAAGCACCGGCUAACUCCGUGCCAGCAGCCGCGGUAAUACGGAGGGUGCGAGCGUUAAUCGGAAUUACUGGGCGUAAAGGGCACGCAGGCGGUUAAUUAAGUUGGAUGUGAAAUCCCCGGGCUUAACCUGGGAAUGGCAUUCAAGACUGGUUAGCUAGAGUCUUGUAGAGGGGGUAGAAUUCCGAUGUGUAGCGGUGAAAUGCGUAGAGAUGUGGAGGAAUACCGGUGGCGAAGGCGGCCCCUGGACAAAGACUGACGCUCAUGGUGCGAAAGCGUGGGGAGCAAACAGGGAUUAGAUACC
rnacentral:rRNA from 1 species